AUGCACGCUGGCGGCGUGCCUCAUCCAUGCAAGUCGCGCGAACAGACGAGGAGCUUGCUCCUUUGACGUUAGCGGCGGACGGGUGAGUAACACGUAGGUAACCUACCUAUAAGACUGGGAUAACUUCGGGAAACCGGAGCUAAUACCGGAUAAUAUUUCGAACCGCAUGGUUCGAUAGUGAAAGAUGGCUUUGCUAUCACUUAUAGAUGGACCUGCGCCGUAUUAGCUAGUUGGUAAGGUACCGGCUUACCAAGGCAACGAUACGUAGCCGACCUGAGAGGGUGAUCGGCCACACUGGAACUGAGACACGGUCCAGACUCCUAAGGGAGGCAGCAGUAGGGAAUCUUCCGCAAUGGGCGAAAGCCUGACGGAGCAACGCCGCGUGAGUGAUGAAGGUCUUCGGAUCGUAAAACUCUGUUAUUAGGGAAGAACAAACGUGUAAGUAACUGUGCACGUCUUGACGGUACCUAAUCAGAAAGCCACGGCUAACUACGUG
rnacentral:rRNA from 1 species